rnacentral:rRNA from 1 species
UACGUAGGGAGCAAGCGUUGUCCGGAAUCAUUGGGCGUAAAGCGCGCGUAGGUGGCCACAUAAGUCCGUUGUGAAAGUCCAGGGCUCAACCCUGGGAUGCCGGUCGAUACUGCCGGACUAGAGUUCGGAAGAGGCGAGUGGAAUUCCCGGUGUAGCGGUGAAAUGCGCAGAUAUCGGGAGGAACACCAAUGGCGAAGGCAGCUCGCUGGGACGUUACUGACGCUGAGACGCGAAAGCGUGGGGAGCAAACAGG